AGAGUUUGAUCAUGGCUCAGAACUAACGCUGGCAGCGUGGUUUAGGCAUGCAAGUCGAACGGUGCCGAAAGUAACAUUUCGUAAGAGACGUUACAUUCGGCAUAGUGGCAAAAGGGUGAGGAACGUGCGGGCAAUUUACCCUCAAAUUUGGGAUAACCCCGAGAAAUCGGGGCUAAUACCGAAUAAUUUUCCCGAGCUGUAUGGCUUGGGGAUGAAAGAUGGCUUCGUCCCGAAACUUUGGGAUGCUAUCAUUUGAGGAGAAGCCCACGUCCUAUUAGCUUGUUGGUGAGGUAACGGCUCACCAAGGCUUUGAUGGGUAGCUGGUCUGAGAGGACGGUCAGCCACACUGGGACUGAGACACUGCCCAGACUCCUACGGGAGGCUGCAGUCGAGAAUCUUUCGCAAUGCCCUAACGGGUGACGAUGCGACGCUGCGUGAGCGAUGAAGGCUUUCGGGUCGUAAAGCUCUGUCGCGGGGGAAGAAAUCCCGGCCUUUUAAUAAAGGGUCGGGUUGACGGUACCCUGAAAGGAAGCCACGGCUAACUCCGUGCCAGCAGCCGCGGUAAUACGGGGGUGGCAAGCGUUGUUCGGAUUUAUUGGGCGUAAAGGGCGUGUAGGCGUCCCGAUAAGUUUUCGGUGAAAUCCUUGAGCUUAACUCAAGAACUGCCGAGAAAACUGUCGGGAUUGAGCGCAGGAGAGGAGAGCGGAAUUCCCGGUGUAAGGGUGAAAUCUGUAGAUAUCGGGAGGAACACCAGCGGCGAAGGCGGCUCUCUGGUCUGAUGCUGACGCUGAGGCGCGAAAGCCAGGGGAGCGAACGGGAUUAGAUACCCCGGUAGUCCUGGCCCUAAACGAUGGACACUAGGUGCGGGUUCGGAAGAAUCUGUGCCGCAGCUAACGCAUUAAGUGUCCCGCCUGGGGAGUACGGUCGCAAGGCUGAAACUCAAAUGAAUUGACGG
rnacentral:rRNA from 1 species